rnacentral:rRNA from 1 species
CCUACGGGGGGCAGCAGUGAGGAAUAUUGGUCAAUGGGCGCGAGCCUGAACCAGCCAAGUAGCGUGAAGGAUGACUGCUCUACGGGUUGUAAACUUCUUUUAUAAAGGAAUAAAGUGAGGCACGUGUGCCUUUUUGUAUGUACUUUAUGAAUAAGGAUCGGCUAACUCCGUGCCAGCAGCCGCGGGAAUACGGAGGAUCCGAGCGUUAUCCGGGUUUCUUGGGUUUAAAGGGAGAGUAGAUGGGUGGUUAAGUCAGUUGUGAAAGUUGGGGGCUCAACCCGUAAAAUGCACUUGAAACUGGCAGUCUUGAGUACAGUUGAGGUAGGCGGAAUUCGUGGUGUAGCGGUGAAAUGCUUAGAUAUCACGAAGAACUCCGAUUGCGAAGGCAGCUUACUAAACUGCCACUGACAUUGAUGCUCGAAAGUGUGGGUAUCAAACAGGAUUAGAUACCCGAGUAGUC